GAGUGUAGCCCUUUAAAAUGGAGGGGGGCAGUGUCAGGUAAACUAGGAAGUAGAGUGUGUGGCCCGGUGUGACCGAGCAGCAGCUCUUUGUGAGAGGCCAGUGUGGUGCCGUGUUUUAAAAAAAGAAAAAAAAAGACAACCGUCAGGCUGUAGUUCACUGCGCCGGAUCUGUUUUCCUCCGCGCUGAGAGUGUGCGACAAGUGCCCAAAUGCGCAGUUGCACAGCUAAGAGGGAAGAUUGGUUCGGGGCGACACUAACCUCUGCAGGUGGGCUCCUUCCUGUUCCAAACUGGCCGAGAAGCAUUGACACAGUGCAAAAGGAAGGCGCCGAUGUUGCCGACGUCACGCGUGGACCUGAAGGAGACGCUCAGAGUGUUGCUGGGACUGCGGACCACCUGGCCCUCCACCAGCAGCGUCUGAUUGGCCAGCACCAGCCAGGCCCCGCCCUCGGCCACACCCCUGAUGGACAGCUGCUCGCCGUCCGACAGAUUAGCGCUCUUCACCUGAACACGUCAGAACGGGUACAAGGAGGACAGAAGCGGCUCCAGAACAAGUCCGUGGAUGGCUCGGCCACAGCCCCAACUUCAACCCAACGGAGCAUCGGGCGGAACCGUUCGAACUGACAACAAGAGGGAGACUGGCACAGGGUCCCCAGAUCCAGGCUGCCGUGCUUCAGUUUGAAUUGGAAAGCCGUCCGACAUCCAACAUUUCGGCACGUCUGAAAGUUCCUGUCAUGAACCUGGUUCGGGUCAUGACCUCGCCCAAAGCCAAACGGGGCGAGGUCACGCCCUCCUCGUCGGGCAGCAGUAAAGAAACGGCAAAGUUGUGUCAACUGACCGUCUGGAGUACUCCAGCAGCUUUAAAACGGCCGCCACCGGGCCUGUACUAUGGACGCGGACUAGUGAUCCCCAACCCGCGAGAGUUCUUCCGAGGCGCUGCGGGGAAUGAUCGCAUUUACGACAAAGAAUUGACCUUUGUUUGUCCAUCAAUGGCAGUGACACA